rnacentral:rRNA from 1 species
UUCGCAAUGCCCGAAAGGGUGACUAUGCGACGCCGCGUGUGGGAAGAAGGCCUUCGGGUUGUAAACCACUGUCGGGAGUUAAGAAAUGUAAGGGUGUUAAUAGCGCCUUUACUUGACAAAGGCUCCGGAGGAAGCCACGGCUAACUCUGUGCCAGCAGCCGCGGUAAUACAGAGGCGGCAAGCGUUGUUCGGAAUUAUUGGGCGUAAAGAGCACGUAGGCGGCUUUGCAUGUCAGUUGUGAAAGCCUUCCGCUUAACGGAAGAACAGCAGCUGAUACUACAGAGCUUGAGUACGGGAGGGGAGAGUGGAACUUCUGGUGGAGCGGUGAAAUGCGUAGAUAUCAGAAGGAACGCCGGCGGCGAAAGCGACUCUCUGGCCCGUAACUGACGCUGAGUGUGCGAAAGCUAGGGGAGCAAACGGGAUUAGAUACCCCGGUAGUCCUAGCCGUAAACGAUGGGCACUAAGUAGAGGGGUUUU